UGGGGAAUAUUGGACAAUGGGGGGAACCCUGAUCCAGCCAUGCCGCGUGUGUGAAGAAGGUCUUCGGAUUGUAAAGCACUUUAAGUUGGGAGGAAGGGCAGUAAGCGAAUACCUUGCUGUUUUGACGUUACCGACAGAAUAAGCACCGGCUAACUCUGUGCCAGCAGCCGCGGUAAUACAGAGGGUGCAAGCGUUAAUCGGAAUUACUGGGCGUAAAGCGCGCGUAGGUGGUUCGUUAAGUUGAAUGUGAAAGCCCCGGGCUCAACCUGGGAACUGCAUCCAAAACUGGCGAGCUAGAGUAGGGCAGAGGGUGGUGGAAUUUCCUGUGUAGCGGUGAAAUGCGUAGAUAUAGGAAGGAACACCAGUGGCGAAGGCGACCACCUGGGCUCAUACUGACACUGAGGUACGAAAGCAUGGGGAGCAAACAGG
rnacentral:rRNA from 1 species